CCUUACCAGGGCUGCACAGCUGUAUACCGGGGGGCUGACGGCAUGAAGAAGCACAUUAAGGAGCACCAUGAGGAGGUCCGGGAAAGGCCCUGCCCACACCCUGGUUGCAACAAGGUAUUCAUGAUCGACCGAUACCUACAGCGACACGUGAAGCUCAUCCACACAGGUACCUGUCUCAGGCUGUGCCGUCAGUGGACCCCAGGCACCCAGCCAGGGGGACAAACCCUACCCAGAAGCUUGGGAUCAGGUGCUUCUGUGCCACUUAGGUAUUCUGAAUCCACAUACAAGCUGGAGUCCUCCUCUCUGUUGAAUUCCUGAUGGUACCCACUCCUUUUAAGUCUGAGCAACUUUUCAGCAUUGAGAUCACAGAAAUUCUAGUACUCUUGUGA
rnacentral:lncRNA from 1 species